UUACCAUUUAUAAUCUUUAUUCAAAUAAAACAUGCAUUUAAAAAGAUGAAACAGCAUUCUCUUGCAGGACUUCUGUGACAACAAAAUUGUAAAGAACAAAUAAGAAAAAAACUUUUGUUAAAAUGUCCAAGUAUUUAAAGCAUACACAAAUACAAGAAGCUUAAACUCUCUUGUAAAAACAUAAAUGUCUGUCUAGAGAGCUAAGAAAAUUUUUUUUUUGCUAGAACACAAAAUAAAUGGGAGGAAGGGGGGGGUCAAUGUGAAAACAAGAAAAAGGUGUAAUCCUGUUCUGAAAUAAUUAAAAUUGUGACACAGUGGGUGUGGAAAUCACAUUUUUAAAAAAGUCAAAAAAACAUUUAAAAGACACUUGGAUUAAAAUCAAGAUUUUACUCAAAAUAAAACUAAGCAUUAUUGUUCUGUGGAACAUAGAGAUCUACUUGUCAGCUGUUUUGGAGUCCAAUCUAGUUCAAAGAAAGAAAUGCUUUGUUUUGCUUGGUUUAAACCAGAAAGACUUGUAACAAAGCUAUUUCUCACUGCUUUGAAUAUUUUCAUUUGCUUUUAAACCAAAAACUCCAACUAUUUACAGUUUGAAAUUACCUGACAUAAUUGUAUAGAGUUAUUAAAAAGUAUUUCAUCGAUUGGUUGACUUAAGGUUAUGCUGCCCAUCAAUAUAUGAAAACAAAGUAACUUAUGUUUAGAUUUUCUCCCACCCCCUGCCCAACCAUCCCCUUCCCUGCUGGAGCAGAUGUAUUCUAUUUACAAUAAUGUGGGUUUACAACAGUUUCAUAAGGAAAUAAAAUCAACCUGUACAAUAAAAAAAAAGGGGGGAACUACUCUCAUUUCAGAGAGGCUGUCUCACACAAUUUUACUGAGAGGAAAUAAAUACUUGCACACCCCACCAGGAGCACAGAGGGAAAUGCAAAAAUUCUAAAAGGUCUUGAUUUAGUGGUGAAGAGAAAUACAUAACUUUCUUUUUCAUUCAGUCUUUGCAUUGGUUCCAAAGAAGAUUAAGACUUUAAAAGCUGUUUUUGAAUCAAUGUUUUGAGCUUUGCCCUCCUGAACAAGUUGGGGUUGGGGUGCAUGUUAUUAGAUAAUCAUUCACUAUCUACUCCAGGCAGUCUUUUCAAAGUCCUUGGACUUAAUAUGCUUAUUACAGCAAGGCACAAAACUACUUUAUAAAGUUAAAAACAUUUGUCUACCAGACUUGACCAACAACAUACAUAAACAAAUAAAAUCAUUAUCUUUCUUCAUAUGGUCACAAUGUCAAGGCAAUGCCUUUGUUUAUUUGCAGCAGAAAUAAAAUCUUUAUUCGAUUCACUAAUAAGUAUAUUUCUAUAAUACAAGUUGCCUACUUCUAUUGUGAAGAAAAACAUAGUCGGCAAAAAAAAUGCCAAUGGAUCACAAUUAGACUUAGCAAUGCUGAAUUCUUGGAAGACCACAUUUUUUUUUAAAUUUUGCACUUCACAAAGUGUAUAACCAAUGGACAACACUCCAGAUACAUCACACCUAAUUUGUUAAAAGUCUGAGUAGUAAAUUUGUACCAUGUAGCUGGUUCAGUUGUUGCUUUGUUCUGAAGUUUCAAAUGAAAUUUAAACAUCCUGAAGACAUAAUCAGAUUGUCAAGGGAAAAAAAACAAACAGAUAAAUACUGAGUUGUGAGUAACAAGUCAAUCAACUGGUUGUCAAAACAUAGUACACAUUUCAUGAUUUCAAUACAUCUGAUCCAAGUACAUUUCCAGUGCUUGAUUCACCAAUUUGUUUCAAUGGAAUGUGUCUUCACUUCAAAUGGUUACAAACUAUUUGUCCCUUAUGAGAGAUUUCAAUAUGAACUGGGGCACUUAGUGAAUGGCAUUUGUGAGUCUGGAAAUAUUCAAAAAGAAACAAUGACUUGGGUGUUGAAUUCACUCCUGUUAGCAGAGAGAUAAUAAUAGAAUGUAAUACUUAGCAGAACAUACAAUCAACAUGAGGGUCUGUGGUAGCAUGAUAUACUGCAAUGGACACAAUAGUAUCAACAGAUAACUCUUGCUGGGUAAAGAAGCACAGAAUCAGGUGAUAUAAAAGUCUUAGGGAUGAAAAUUAAGAAAUUAUAUUACUACAAAAUAAAGCUCUGUAACAGAAUUCCUGUGAUUGUCACAUUGUAAAAAUAAAAUAAUCGUGGUUUGAAAAAAAAAAAAAAAAAAAU